rnacentral:lncRNA from 1 species
AAGCCAAGAAUCAGUGGACGUGGUGUCCUGGUACUUUUGCUCUGGAACUUCUGAUGCUCACCCAGUGGCUCCUCAUCUCUUCAGAUGUCACACACACUGUGGCAGUUGUGUCCUGGUUUCAGCUAGCAUAAAGUUAAUUUUCUUCGGUGGCUGCUCUGUGCUGGUAGUGCUGUAGAGAUCCACUGGUGUCAGAUCUCUGAAUGGGACCCUGCCACCAAACAUGUCCUAAUUCACCAGAGCAUCUAGUGUUGCCAGAAAAGAGGUGCACAGGUGAAAUUCUGGAUGAAGUGAAGCCUUCUCAUGAUGAGUCAUCACGUUACACAAAGUAAAAGGGUCUGGAUCCACAGUCAGAAGUCUACGGGUGUCCCAUCCCGGCACAGGGCCAGGGACUCCACCAUAGACUGCGGUGGGACUAAUGGAGCUUUUGUUCUGUGCUCACUCCUGGGCAAGUCACAGGUCUCAGCAAAGAGACUUCUUUCUUUCUCAGCUGUGAAUAAGAAAACUGGAAUCUGAAUGGCAGAAAAUGGUGGAAGAAAAAGAUUAUAAUUUACUAGAGACUAAUUGCUCAAAGCUAACUGAGGCCCAGUUCUCACAGCAUCUCAGGAGGGAAUUUCUAUUCCUGGAGGUACAAAGCACUCAAUCUUCCCUUCCUUCUCCUAUCAGCAGAGACAAGAGAACUUCAUAUUCGUUGUCUUUGGUGUGACACCACUAUUUAAUCCCUGUACCAUUAGCCAAGAACGGACAUGCAUACCUGUAUAUGUAAUGUUCAAAAUAAAAUGAAGUUUGUUUAUUUGUUCA